UACUAGAGUAGCACUCGCAUAUCAAUAAGCGGAGGAAAAGAAACUAACAAGGAUUCCCUUAGUAACGGCGAGUGAAGCGGGAAGAGCUCAAAUUUGAAAUCUUCAAGGUUCUACCUUGACGAAUUGUAGUUUAUAGAAGUGUUUUCUGUUAGUAGAGUUGGCUAAAAGUUCUUUGGAAUAGGACAUCAUAGAGGGUGAGAAUCCCGUAUUUGAUCAUUCUUUCUAGCUUUGUGAUACACUUUCAACGAGUCGGAUUGUUUGGGAAUGCAGUCCAAAAUGGGUGGUAAAUUUCAUCUAAAGCUAAAUAUUGGCGAGAGACCGAUAGCGAACAAGUACCGUGAGGGAAAGAUGAAAAGAACUUUGAAAAGAGAGUUAAACAGUACGUGAAAUUGUCAAAAGGGAAGCGUUUGACACCAGUGUUGUUUUUCCGAAAAUCAAUUACGAAUGUUUUAUUUUUGAGGAGUUAUGACUUCAUCGGCUUGCUUCUCUCUUUAUGGAACUUUCUUAAUGCACUUUUCGGUUAACAAGUCAACAUCAAUUUCUUUUGUUGUAAAAGAGUAUGAGGAAGGUGGCUUUCUUUUCGGAGAAAGUGUUUAUAGCCUUGUACCUCUGCUAGUCGGAGAGAUUGAGGUCUGCAGCGUAGAUCCUUCGGGGUUAGAUACAUUUGUGCUAAGUUAUAGCUUUUCAUAGACAACUUGUUGACUAUAUUUAGUCUUGUAGCUUACUCGCUUAUGCUAUUUUACCUACGCUUAGGAUGUUGAUAGUCACAGCGUGUAC
rnacentral:rRNA from 1 species